CGCUGGCGGCAUGCCUUACACAUGCAAGUCGAACGGCAGCACGGAGCUUGCUCUGGUGGCGAGUGGCGAACGGGUGAGUAAUAUAUCGGAACGUACCCAGGAGUGGGGGAUAACGUAGCGAAAGUUACGCUAAUACCGCGUACGUCCUAAGGGAGAAAGUGGGGGAUCGCAAGACCUCAUGCUCAUGGAGCGGCCGAUAUCUGAUUAGCUAGUUGGUGGGGUAAAGGCCUACCAAGGCAUCGAUCAGUAGCUGGUCUGAGAGGACGACCAGCCACACUGGAACUGAGACACGGUCCAGACUCCUACGGGAGGCAGCAGUGGGGAAUUUUGGACAAUGGGGGCAACCCUGAUCCAGCAAUGCCGCGUGAGUGAAGAAGGCCUUCGGGUUGUAAAGCUCUUUUGUCAGGGAGGAAAAGGGAUUGGCUAAUAUCUGAUCCUCAUGACGGUACCUGAAGAAUAAGCACCGGCU
rnacentral:rRNA from 1 species